AAUAGAUACCCCGGUAGUCCACGCCGUAAACGAUGAAUACUAGGUGUAGGGGUUGUCAUGACCUCUGUGCCGCCGCUAACGCAUUAAGUAUUCCGCCUGGGGAGUACGGUCGCAAGAUUAAAACUCAAAGGAAUUGACGGGGGCCCGCACAAGCAGCGGAGCAUGUGGUUUAAUUCGAAGCAACGCGAAGAACCUUACCUAGACUUGACAUCUCCUGAAUUACUCUGUAAUGGAGGAAGCCACUUCGGUGGCAGGAAGACAGGUGGUGCAUGGUUGUCGUCAGCUCGUGUCGUGAGAUGUUGGGUUAAGUCCCGCAACGAGCGCAACCCUUAUUGUUAGUUGCUACCAUUUAGUUGAGCACUCUAGCGAGACUGCCCGGGUUAACCGGGAGGAAGGUGGGGAUGACGUCAAAUCAUCAUGCCCCUUAUGUCUAGGGCUACACACGUGCUACAAUGGUCGGUACAAUGAGAUGCAACCUCGCGAGAGUGAGCAAAAACUAUAAAAACCGAUCUCAGUUCGGAUUGUAGGCUGAAA
rnacentral:rRNA from 1 species